rnacentral:rRNA from 1 species
AAAUGAAUUGACGGGGACCCGCACAAGCGGUGGAGCGUGUUCUUUAAUUGGAUGAUAAGCCAAGAACCUUACCCAGACUUGACAUCCUUGGAAGGACUACGAAAGUAGUCUGUGCCUUUGGAACCAAGUGACAGGUGCUGCAUGGCCGUCUUCAGCUCGUGUCGUGAGAUGUUAGGUUAAGUCCUUCAACGAGCGCAACCCUUAUGAUUAGUUGAAUUUUUCUAGUCAGACUGCCUCGGUAACGGGGAGGAAGGAGGGGAUGAUGUCAGGUCAGUAUUGCCCUUACGUCUGGGGCUAGAAACGCGCUACAAUGGCUGGUACAAUGGGCCGCUAAGUCGCGAGACGGAGCAAAUCCCAUCAAAGCCAGUCUCAGUUCGGAUUGGAGGCUGAAAUUCGCCUCCAUGAAGCCGGAAUCGCUAGUAACCGUAGGUCAGCACACUACGGUGAAUACGUUCCCGGGUCUUGUACACACCGCCCGU